CUGUCGUGGCAUCACAGUGCUUGUGUGCAAGUAAUCUUUGACAUCACCUGCUCCUGACAUCAAACCAUCGACAUCCUCGAUCAUGGGUGGAUGAUCCUCUUUCUGACGUAUUGUCAGAUCAUCAAUAAUAGCCUCAUGCGGUGUCACAAUGCCCACAUGGUUCACUUCCCUUCAUCUCACCACGCAGGCACCAUACCAUCUCACGUCAUCACAAGAAGAAGAAGGGUGAGGACAGCACAGUAAGAUACUUGGAGAGAGAGAGACAACACAUUCACUCAGGCCAAUGACAGGAUCUGUACUGAUUUCUUCUCUCACACACACAGGGACUCCAGAGGCUACUCAGCUAAGAAGACAUUGUCACAGAUGGAAGGAGCCAGAUCCCCAAAUCAUCACUUGGAGAAGAGACACCCCAGACAGCCAAC
rnacentral:lncRNA from 1 species